CCUACGGGUGGCAACAGUGAGGAAUAUUGGUCAAUGGUCGGGAGACUGAACCAGCCAAGCCGCGUGAGGGAGGAAGGUACAGAGUAUCGUAAACCUCUUUUGUCAGGGAACAAAGACUGGGACGCGUCCCCGGAUGAGUGUACCUGAAGAAAAAGCAUCGGCUAACUCCGUGCCAGCAGCCGCGGUAAUACGGAGGAUGCGAGCGUUAUCCGGAUUUAUGGGGUUAAAAGGGUGCGCAGGCGGUCUGUUAAGUCAGCGGUCAAGGCCCGGGGAUCAACCCCGGCCCGCCGUUGCAACUGGCAGUCUCGAGUUGGAGAGAAGUAUGCGGAAUGCGCGGUGUAGCGGUGAAAUGCAUAGAUAGCGCGCAGAACUCCGAUUGCGAAGGCAGCAUGCCGGCUCCACACUGACGCUGAGGCACGAAAGCGUGGGUAUCGAACAGGAUUAGAUACCCUUGUAGUC
rnacentral:rRNA from 1 species